GGGGAUAACUACUGGAAACGGUAGCUAAUACCGCAUAACGUCGCAAGACCAAAGAGGGGGACCUUCGGGCCUCUUGCCAUCAGAUGUGCCCAGAUGGGAUUAGCUAGUAGGUGGGGUAACGGCUCACCUAGGCGACGAUCCCUAGCUGGUCUGAGAGGAUGACCAGCCACACUGGAACUGAGACACGGUCCAGACUCCUACGGGAGGCAGCAUG
rnacentral:rRNA from 1 species